UACAGAGGUCCCAAGCGUUGUUCGGAAUUACUGGGCGUAAAGCGUGUGUAGGCGGCAGGGCAAGUCGGAUGUGAAAUCCCGUGGCUCAACCAUGGACGUGCACUCGAAACUGCCUAGCUAGAGUCUCGGAGAGGAGGGUGGAAUGCUUGGUGUAGAGGUGAAAUUCGUAGAUAUCGAGAGGAACACCGGUGGCGAAGGCGGCCUUCUGGACAGUGACUGACGCUGAGACGCGAAAGCGUGGGGAGCAAACAGG
rnacentral:rRNA from 1 species